AUUGAACGCUGGCGGCAGGCCUAAUACAUGCAAGUCGAACGGCUCUUCGGAGCAGUGGCGGACGGGUGAGUAACGCGUGGGAAUGUGCCCUUUGGUACGGAACAACACAGGGAAACUUGUGCUAAUACCGUAUGUGCCCUUCGGGGGAAAGAUUUAUCGCCAUUGGAGCAGCCCGCGUUGGAUUAGCUAGUUGGUGGGGUAAAAGCCUACCAAGGCGACGAUCCAUAGCUGGUCUGAGAGGAUGAUCAGCCACACUGGGACUGAGACACGGCCCAGACUCCUACGGGAGGCAGCAGUAGGGAAUCUUGCGCAAUGGGCGAAAGCCUGACGCAGCCAUGCCGCGUGAAUGAUGAAGGUCUUAGGAUUGUAAAAUUCUUUCACCGGGGAAGAUAAUGACGGUACCCGGAGAAGAAGCCCCGGCUAACUUCGUGCCAGCCGCCGCAGUAAGAC
rnacentral:rRNA from 1 species